UACGUAGGGGGCAAGCGUUGUCCGGAAUCAUUGGGCGUAAAGAGCGCGUAGGCGGCUCGGUAAGUCGGCUGUGAAAGUCCAGGGCUCAACCCUGGGAUGCCGGUCGAUACUGCCGGGCUAGAGUUCGGAAGAGGCGAGUGGAAUUCCCGGUGUAGCGGUGAAAUGCGCAGAUAUCGGGAGGAACACCUAUGGCGAAGGCAGCUCGCUGGGACGUUACUGACGCUGAGACGCGAAAGCGUGGGGAGCAAACAGG
rnacentral:rRNA from 1 species